UCUAGUAAUGAUGGCGAAGAGGUCACACCCGUUCCCAUACCGAACACGGAAGUUAAGCUCUUCAGCGCCGAUGGUAGUUGGGGGUUUCCCCCUGUGAGAGUAGGACGUUGCUAGGC
rnacentral:rRNA from 1 species